UGUUUUAGAUAGUAGGUUCAGAGUUAACCAUAUUGCCACCAUGUGUAUUGUGGACUUGAUAGAGAAGAGGACACAUGGCUAACAGAGACGAAUAUUCAAACUUGAAAAUGUUGAGAAUGUUGACAAAGAACAAGGCUUUUGCGACAGGUUAACUAUGAGCGACACGAUACGCUCGUUAUCAAUUAAUUUGCUUUUGAACCCAAUUUCAGAUUCAAUCAUGCAAAUCUCCUCAAGUGUCCUAGCUUUGGAUCUUUCAAAAAUCAAGUUGAGAAAAUCAAAGCCUUUUUUGUUCCAGUUAAUAGGAUACCGUCAAUUACCAAAAGAGCCACAGAGUGACUUUGCAUUUUUGCUCCGAUAUUUGGCAAGAGAUCUGCGCUACCUAGCAGGACAUUGUUUUCUUUAGUGGCAAAGUUGCUUCUCUAUUGUCUUUCUUGUUGCUUGCUCCACUGUCAUAUAGAGU